UCCCUAAAUUCCUCAAAUCAAAAUCCCUCUGAAACCGAAAUCCCUAAAAUCAAAAUCCCUCUGAAAUCGAAAUCCCUAAAAUCUCCAAAAUCCCAAUCCAUUGAUCCAACUAUUAGAAACCAAAAUCCCCAAAAUCCUCAAAUCAAAAUCAUUCAAAAUCAAAAUAGUGGUGAACGACGGCCUUCGCAAAGUGACGCGGGUGAACGACGGCCUUCGCCCGAGUGACGAGCAGCAGCGACUGUGAACGACGAGUGACGAGCAACUGUGAGCGACUGUGAACGGCCAUUCAUAAAGAAAUUGCGUGGCAGCGGCUUGAUGAGAUUCAACCUGCAAGUGAGGAUGUGAUAUCUCGUGGGACCACUGGCCUCAAGCUCUAUAUGGUUGCUCAUUUCUUGGUAUCUUUGAAAGCUUGGAUUUUAGCACAUAAGCCCCCAGCAACACCAAAAUCUAAUUUGCCUUUGAAAGGAACACUUGUUAGCAAGACCAAAAAAUAAAUACACGAAAUGGAUAUGUUGAGCUAUGGAGCUUUGACAAACGAUGGAAAUGACGGCAGUGAAGGAUGUAAGGGAUUAAGAAUGGUAAUGGCAACAAUAAAAUAAAUACACGAAAUGGAUAUGUUGAGCUAUGGAGCUUUGACAAACGAUGGAAAUGACGGCAGUGAAGGAUGUAAGGGAUUAAGAAUGGUAAUGGCAACAAUAAUAUGGUAGGGAUUUGGGCUAAGAGUUAGGCUUUGUAGAGGGGUGAGGGGGUUUCGAUAGUAGAGAGGGGUGCCAUCAGUAGGUGGGUGUAAAUCUGGUCUCUCUCUCUUUUCUUUUAUUUUAUAAUUAAGAAAAACAUUAUUUUGCUCUACUCUCGGUCACUCUAGAGAAAAUAUUCUAAAGGAUCUGAACACGAUGGAGUAAA